AAAGCCUGAUGCAGCGACGCCGCGUGGGGGAUGACGGUCUUCGGAUUGUAAACCCCUUUCAGUAGGGACGAAGCGCAAGUGACGGUACCUGCAGAAGAAGCACCGGCCAACUACGUGCCAGCAGCCGCGGUAAUACGUAGGGUGCGAGCGUUGUCCGGAAUUACUGGGCGUAAAGAGCUCGUAGGCGGUUUGUCGCGUCGUCCGUGAAAACUCGGAGCUUAACUCCGAGCUUGCGGGCGAUACGGGCAGACUUGAGUACUACAGGGGAGACUGGAAUUCCUGGUGUAGCGGUGAAAUGCGCAGAUAUCAGGAGGAACACCGGUGGCGAAGGCGGGUCUCUGGGUAGUAACUGACGCUGAGGAGCGAAAGCAUGGGUAGCGAACAGGAUUAGAUACCCUGGUAGUCCAUGCCGUAAACGGUGGGCGCUAGGUGUGGGGUCCUUCCACGGAUUCCGUGCCGUAGCUAACGCAUUAAGCGCCCCGCCUGGGGAGUACGGCCGCA
rnacentral:rRNA from 1 species